rnacentral:rRNA from 1 species
UACGUAGGUGGCAAGCGUUGUCCGGAUUUAUUGGGUUUAAAGGGUGCGUAGGCGGUUGAUUAAGUCAGUUGUGAAAUACGGCAGCUUAACUGUCGAGGUGCAAUUGAUACUGGUUGACUUGAGUACAGACGAGGUAGGCGGAAUUGACGGUGUAGCGGUGAAAUGCAUAGAUAUCGUCAAGAACACCGAUAGCGAAGGCAGCUUACUAGACUGUAACUGACGCUGAGGCACGAAAGUGUGGGGAUCAAACAGG